AUUGACCGCUGGCGGCAGGCCUAACACAUUCAAGUCUAGCGAGCGGCGGACGGGUGAGUAAUGUAUGGGGACUGCCCGAUAUAGGGUGAUCACUACUGGAAACGGUAGCUAAUACCGCAUACUUUCGGAUCACCCCUAUGGGAUUAGCUAGGAGGUUAGGUAAUGGCUCACCUAGGCGACGAUCCCUAGCUGGUCUGAGAGGAUGAUCAGCAACACUGGGACUGAGACACGGCCAAGACUCCGACGGAGGCAGCAGUGGGGAAUAGUGCACAAUGGGGGCAAGCCUGAUGCAGCCAUGCCGCGUGUAUGAAGAAGGCCCUAGGGUGGUAAAGUACUUUCAGUCGGGAGGCGUUACCGACAGAAGAAGCACCGGCUAACUCCGUGCCAGCAGCCGCGGUAAUUC
rnacentral:rRNA from 1 species